rnacentral:rRNA from 1 species
UACGUAGGGUGCAAGCGUUAAUCGGAAUUACUAGGCGUAAAGCGUGCGCAGGCGGUGAUGUAAGACAGAUGCGAAAUCCCCGGGCUCAACCUGGGAACUGCAUUUGUGACUGCAUCGCUGGAGUGCGGCAGAGGGGGAUGGAAUUCCGCGUGUAGCAGUGAAAUGCGUAGAUAUGCGGAGGAACACCGAUGGCGAAGGCAAUCCCCUGGGCCUGCACUGACGCUCAUGCACGAAAGCGUGGGGAGCAAACAGG